AUGUCGAGGGCUAAAUCUACAGAGGGAUUGGGGUGCCUUGAUAGCAAUAAUACUCCAGCCCUCUGCAUGAAGCCUGGGAAGAGCAAGCACAUCAGAACGAGGAUGGGGGAUGCCCCAGGUAGUCUCAAAUCUUGCUGUAAAAUUGCACUUAACCUCCAAAACCAGACUGUGGCUUGGGUCUCCCAGUGCUUUUUGCUGCUGUUUUGGCCUUCCAGGUGCCUUGUGCUUGUGAAUGCCUCCACCUGCAGCUUAUUUUUCUCACCUGGUGAGUUGAACUUGCCACAGCAUGUAAGCCCCUUGCAGAGGCUUAGGUGGUUGCUGAAGGAGGUGUGGAUGGUUGUGUGCUGGCUGGAGCAAGGAGCACCUCUUGGUGGGGCCUUUCUUCCUGUUGGGUUAGUGCACUGUGUCCCAGGCAGCAGCCAGAUUUAAAGCCUUGGAAUUAGAUGCAAAAUUGACAAGUAAGACCACCAGAAAACCGAGAAUAUUGUGAGUCUGAUGGGACUCUGCUGUUUCUGAGGUAUCAUCAGAGAGCAUCCCAUCUCCUGGGGUAUCCUGUGACAGAGAUGAGGGCAGGAUCUGGGCUGAACAUCUCUUUUGAAGUCAAAGCCUUUGUGGAUGGUAACCUAGCAUUACCCACCUUCUUUUAGACCCAAGGUGAGAUUCAAUCCUUGAUGGCAGUCUCAAAAAUCACCUUGUUGCAGAAGAGGUGACACGGUGACUACUAGCAACGAUAUAUUGACCGAAGUCUUGAAGCAUGUUGCAUCUUCCCACUGCCCCACUAAUUUGUCAAAAUUUCAAUGGAAUAAAUUGUUAUCUGAAGGGAUUCCUG
rnacentral:lncRNA from 1 species